GUCUCUCAGCCUGACCCCUCUCUCCCACCCCAGGUUGCAGCAGUCAUAAGCACCGUUUUUCAGGUCCCUGAACGAACCUGACUCUCUCCCAUGCUGUUCCCUCUGCCUGGAACACUCUUUUCCCGACUCUGUCUGGUGCAAUUCUGUGUUAAUAUAAGAGAAGUGUGGCCUUCCUUCUCAUAGGACUAGAAGUGAGAUAAUCCCUGUGUAAGAAAUCACUUAACUUUCUCAACUCAAGUCUCAUUAUCAUCACUUUGUCGAUGAGGAAACCAAGUAGUUAGUGGACUUACAAACGUAGGAGACAAAACUGGGAUCGAAAC
rnacentral:lncRNA from 1 species